GCUCUCCAGUUUGUUUAUUAUUAGAGACGACUCACAAUCAUAUGCAAUUAGCAGUGUAUGUUUCGGUCUGGAUGACAAGCAGAUCUAUAAUUUUAAAAAUACCAUUUGUAGCAUUCUUUGUCAAGAGAAAGUAGAAAGUGAGGAUCUCAUAAUUGCUACUUUCAAGAUGCUUACUUCUGCUGCACGCUAUCAGGCUUCUUUUCUUACCGCUGUGAUCGCU
rnacentral:misc_RNA from 1 species